rnacentral:rRNA from 1 species
AUGCUGCCGGCUGGCGUUAAGUUCGAUCCCACGGAUCAGGAGCUGAUCGAGCACCUUGAGGCCAAAGUGAGUGCUGACAGCGCAAGAUUUCAGUCUCUCAUCGAUUUGUUCAUACCAACCAUCGACAGCGAGCACGGCAUAUGUUACACCCAACCUGAGAAACUUCCAGGUAUCACACUGAGUGGCCUAAGGAAGCAUUUCUUCCAGCGCAAUUCUAGGGCGUUCAAAAGGGGCGCGUGGACGCGUCGCAAGAUACAGUUGGAGUGUGGCAUGCAUGCGAUGUGGCACAAGACCGGCAAUACCUUGCCGGUGAUGGUCAACGGCCGGCAGACGGGCAACAAAAAAGGUUCUGGUGCUGUACACCAACAAGAACUUCGACCAGCAGAGGACCAACUGGGUGAUGCACCAGUACCACCUCGGGGACCUGGAGCAAGAGAAGGAGCGGGAGCUGGUCCUCUGCAAGAUUUUCUACCAGAUGAACACUAG